GACGUAGGGUGCGAGCGUUGUCCGGAUUUAUUGGGCGUAAAGAGCUCGUAGGCGGUUUGUCGCGUCGGCCGUGAAAUCUCCACGCUUAACGUGGAGCGUGCGGUCGAUACGGGCAGACUUGAGUUCGGUAGGGGAGACUGGAAUUCCUGGUGUAGCGGUGAAAUGCGCAGAUAUCAGGAGGAACACCGGUGGCGAAGGCGGGUCUCUGGGCCGAUACUGACGCUGAGGAGCGAAAGCGUGGGGAGCGAACAGG
rnacentral:rRNA from 1 species